rnacentral:lncRNA from 1 species
GUCAUUGAUUGAAGAAUCAGUAUUACAACAGAAAUCUAGAGCCAGAUGGAUCCAACUUGGAGACUCAAAUAACAAAUAUUUCUCAGCUUUAAUGAAUGAGAGAAACCAGUAUAAGAGAAUCACUGAACUGAUCACAGAAGGGGGGUUUGAAGGUAACUGAUCCAGAUGACCUGAAGAAAGAGAUUAAAGAUUUCUAUAAGUCACUCAUGGGGACAUCUGCCACUUCCCUUCCAGCUGUUAACAGAUUGUACAUGCGAAAUGGACCUAGCCAAACACAUCACCAGAAGAUGGAACUAGCUGCUGACAUCAGUGACACUGAGAUCCUAGACAGCAUAAAAGCAAUUGGUAAUGACAAAGCUCCAGGAGUAGAUGGCUAUAAUGCCAUGUUCUUUAAACAAACUUGGCAUAUCACUGGAAAGCAGGUAAUUCAAGCAGUCAAGAAUUUCUUUGAAACUAACAAAAUGUAUAGACAACCUAGCCUAACACAUCACCAGAAGAUGGAACUAGCUGCUGACAUCAGUGACACUGAAAUUCUAGACAGCUUAAAAGCAAUUGGUAAUGACAAAGCUCCAG